AUACAUGCAGUCGAGCGAACUGAUUAGAAGCUUGCUUCUAUGACGUUAGCGGCGGACGGGUGAGUAACACGUGGGCAACCUGCCUGUAAGACUGGGAUAACUUCGGGAAACCGAAGCUAAUACCGGAUAGGAUCUUCUCCUUCAUGGGAGAUGAUUGAAAGAUGGUUUCGGCUAUCACUUACAGAUGGGCCCGCGGUGCAUUAGCUAGUUGGUGAGGUAACGGCUCACCAAGGCAACGAUGCAUAGCCGACCUGAGAGGGUGAUCGGCCACACUGGGACUGAGACACGGCCCAGACUCCUACGGGAGGCAGCAGUAGGGAAUCUUCCGCAAUGGACGAAAGUCUGACGGAGCAACGCCGCGUGAGUGAUGAAGGCUUUCGGGUCGUAAAACUCUGUUGUUAGGGAAGAACAAGUACGAGAGUAACUGCUCGUACCUUGACGGUACCUAACCAGAAAGCCACGGCUAACUACGUGCCAGCA
rnacentral:rRNA from 1 species